rnacentral:antisense_RNA from 1 species
UGUGGGAGCUGGCUUGCCUGCGAUAGCGGUGUGUCAGCCCUCAUAUGUUUGACUGAUGUACCGUUAUCGCAGGCAAGCCAGCUCCCACA